AGACCUGAAAUUGGAGGACUUCACAAGAGCAGUUCGCAGGUUCAUUUUCAGGUACACUUCAAGUACAGAGCAGUCCUCUUGUGCUGACCCUAGCAAACCAUUGGUGAGUUACCUGAGCAGUACCUCAUUGUGGCCAGAGGGCACAUUUGAAGAGAAACCAAAGGACUUGAAGUUAUGUAUCCCAGAAUGUUUGCAGGUUCAACAUGUGUAUGAAAUACUAGUAAAUGUAGAAGAAAAAAUGAAGCAAAUGAAAGAUGAGGAAGCCAAAAGCCAACCAGUAGUCAAGCCAAAAUCUAAACAGAAAAGAAAAACAUAUUCCAGAACAUAGAUAUUGGGGAAAUACCACACCUGAAAACUUGGAGAAAUGCAUGUAUGGAUAUCUUUGGUGAGCAUCCUUUCCAAAGCAGUUUUUUAAUCAA